UUUUGCCUCUAAAACAGCAAGACGAAUAGUAUUCAACUAAUUAUUUGAAAUAUUGUUGGUUUUGAUGUUUAUAAUAUAAAUCGUUUCUAUAAUAUAUUUAGUUGUUGUUUUAAUGUUAAUUUUUUAAGUUAGCAAUGAGUCGUAUAAUACACCAUUGAAUUUUGUAUUUAAAUUGCUUUCGCUGGGGGGCCUACUUUACACGCUUCGUCUCAGGGCCCAUAAAUCACAGGACCGGCUCUGGUUAGUAUCACGGGUUUGAUCUCCUGUUGCCACGUCAACAGUGGGGGGCAUGACUUGGCAACACCACAUGUUACCACGCCCACAGUGGGCAGAAACGUGAUACUAAUUUGUAAACUCUUUCUCUUUCAUGUAGUUGUAAAAAAAAAGUUACGUAACUUCUGAACUCCAUACAUCACCAACACUUGCAACUUCAUUUAUUUUUAAUUUGUUCAUUCUAUAAUUAAUCAAUCAGCCUAUCUCCUUCAAAGAAUAAAUUCACAAAAUCAAUGACUCAGUCCAAAGAGAAACGCAAUAGGUACAGCAACAUGAAUUUUCGAACUUUAAUCUAACUUUUUCUAAAGUUCAGCUCACAUCUAAAAUCAGAAAAAUAAUAAUAUCAUUUCCAAUACAAAAUUAAACAAUAGAAAUCAACAAAGCAGUACUUUCGUACCUGGGUAGAAGAUCUAUAACAACCCAGAGAAAAAUCUAGGGUUUCACAAAAAUUAAAUCAAAUUUACGAGUGUACAUAACAUAUAUAGAUGUUGGCCGUUUUACCGGGAAUCGUGCCGCAGCUAUUGUCUCGAACUUCACAAUUCUCUCUCUCACUGUGUAUAUAUUUGUCUGGGAGUAGUUUAUUUAUCAAUCUUGUCCGACGAAUAAUAAGAUAGAGGCCGAGUGAUGAAGGCUUUUUCUCUUUUCCUUUUUGGAUUUUUCUGAAAGAAAAACAGAAAAAUAAUAAUAUUAACUGGAGAAAUUUUGGCUUCAAAACAAGGAUAUAUUCCCCCGUUGGUCUCC
rnacentral:lncRNA from 1 species